GCCGUCUUAGCUCAGCUGGCAGAGCACUUGACUUGUAAUCAUGAGGUCUCCGGUUCAAUUCCGGAAGACGGCU
rnacentral:tRNA from 1 species